AGCGGGGUGGGGUAGCUAGGAAAUCCCGACGGGCUCAUAACCCGUAGAUCAGUGGUUCAAAUCCACUCCCCGCUACCA
rnacentral:tRNA from 1 species